rnacentral:rRNA from 1 species
AUUGAACGCUGGCGGCAUGCUUUACACAUACAAGUCGAACGAGUGGCGCACGGGUGAGUAUUACAUCGGAACGUGUCCUAUCGUGGGGGAUAACAGAUCGAAAGAUCAUCUAAUACCGCAUACGCUUGGAGCGGUCGACGCCUGAUUAGCUCGUUGGGGUGGUAAAGGCUCACCAAGGCGACGAUCGGUAGCUGGUCUGAGAGGACGAGCAGCCACACUGGAACUGAGACACGGCCCAGACUCCUACGGGAGGCAGCAGUGGGGAAUAUUGGACAAUGGGGGCAAGCCUGAUGCAGCCAUGCCGCGUGUAGGAAGAAGGUCUUCGGAUUGUAAACUGCUUUUGUCGGGGAAGCGGUACCUGAAGAAUAAGCACCGGCUAACUACGUGCCAGCAGCCGCGGUAAUUC